rnacentral:rRNA from 1 species
UACGAAGGGGGCUAGCGUUGCUCGGAAUUACUGGGCGUAAAGGGAGCGUAGGCGGGUUAUCAAGUUGGGGGUGAAAGCCCGGGGCUCAACCUCGGAAUUGCCUUCAAAACUGAUAACCUGGAGUAUGGAAGAGGUAAGUGGAACUCCGAGUGUAGAGGUGAAAUUCGUAGAUAUUAGGAAGAACACCAGUGGCGAAGGCGGCUCACUGGCCCGGUACUGACGCUGAGGCGCGAAAGCGUGGGGAGCAAACAGG